CCCCGACUCCGCCCCUUCGUGUGACGUCAUCUGUGCACCUGGACACACAGGGAGAUAGGGGACGACAUGGGCCUGGCGGACACUGUGUUCCGAAACACGAAUACGAUUUUGUGGAAGCAUUUUUGCGCACGGUUCUACCGUGUUGAAUGACACGUUGCCGUGUUUUACCCCUCUGCGUCGAGUUUAAAAACCCGAAUGGGAUUAUUUGGGCCGCGAUCUUGAGGGACAUUAACACCAAUUAACACUGUGGGUUGUUAACUUACUCGGUUCAGUUUCGCGCCAAAUGCAGCGCCGCGUGGGCCUCAGUCGCCAUCUUUGUGCGAUCCAGGGAGGUCGUGUCUGUGCUGCGUGUGACGUCUUGUUGAAUACGGCUCAAGAUGAGCCGAACAUAGGCGCGGGAGCCGGGGGGGCAGUGGGGGCAGCUUGCCCCCCCAACUCUAGGGCCGUGGGGGCGGUGCCCCCACAACUUUGAGACGAAAUACUGCACUUUUUUUGCAAGUGUUUUUCUUUUUUUGUUGAAAAAGCCAAGGGAUGAAAAAUAAGUGGCCGAAAACCGGUGAGAAAACUAGAUUUGGGGGUACCCUAGGUUCAUCUCCAUUAUGGUGUGCCCCCCAGUCUGAAAGUAGUUCCCGCGCCUAUGGAGCCGAAUGAAGGUGAAUCUCCAAGUCCCACAGUCAGAGCUCAAGACCGUGAGGCAGGACUUCAUUCCUUGAUGAAUGCGGCUCAACUGCUAACAGGAUAAGAAGACACGAACCAGAAGUUGGACGCUUUUUAGAAUUUCCUCUCGUACCGCUAUAGUGUCAUGGGUGGAGGGGAGCGAGGCUGCCAUCUCCGAAGACAACACGCCUCUGAGUGUGCGCCUCCUAGUUUGUGCGGCAAUGUUCCCCGUGUUCAAUGAGAAAAUUCAAUGCCCCAGCGGUCAGAACUCCCAGCUAGUAUUGACGCAAUAGCUCUCCCAAAUGUCGACCGGAAAGUCGUUAAAAAAAUCGUUGCGACGAUCGGCUCGACAAGCUGAAGACCGCGCCAGUGAAUGCAUGUGAAACGGCACCUCUACUCUCCCAUCGCCAGGUCCAAAGACGUGUUGUUCAUAGGUGUCUUUCACAAUACUAGUGUUGCUGAUCGCGGAGGACCACUGUCCACUGCUCGUCCGCCGUGGUGUUAAUCAAUGAAAUAUUAUGAUAUUAUGAUAUUAUGAGCACAAGGUCAAUAUUACCAUUUUUAUUGAUUACAAUCAUGCUCAAAGAAACGUUGUACCAUAUAAAGCCGUGGUGUUACUUCUGAUGAGGCUCAGAGCGCAUGUGUAUUGUUUACUGUGAACAAUCUGUUGAAAUAUAUAAUGAGUAGAUCUGUACUCUGAGACUUAAUGAACUUGGCUAACGAGGAUGUGUGUUAAAGCAAAACGAACUGUGUUACACGCCUCAAUAAUUAUGUGGAAUGAGUUGUAUAAAUGUAUACUUCAUGUCGAUU